rnacentral:lncRNA from 1 species
AGAACACUCAACCACUCUAGUCACCUCGUCCACUCCCUGUGCACAAGCAAUGAACCAAAAUAUCCAGUUGAACUGAACCUUCAUCCACGUGGGGACGUAGAAACCCAUUCACAUGUUCAGAAGCAUAUAUACAUACAACAGAUGUCCCCUCUUAGAUAAAAGCAUAAAUGGAUUUAACUGGAUAACUUUUUUUAUUAUGUCUUAUUAGACACCAGACGUGC